rnacentral:rRNA from 1 species
GUCGGCAGCUAGCUCUCUGCAACUCUCACAUGGUCACCCACUGAAGCUAAGCAAGGCUGCACCCAAGCAGUACCUGGAUGGGAGACCACAUGGGAAAGCUAGGUUGCUGCCGGAA